CUAACAAAUAGCCUAACAAGGUGUCGGAAAUUAUAAGCAGAAAUAUUUCUAAAUCAGGCGAAACUGCAUCCCCUGUCAAAAAAAAAUAGUUCUGUCAUCUCUGACUGUAACCUACAGGCAUUUUCUAUAUUAACGGGUUAGGGUCUGGUUAGGGUCUGGUUAGGGUCUGGUUAGGGUCCGGUUAGGGUCCGGUUAGGGUCCGGUUAGAGUCAGGUUAGGGUCUGGUUAGGGUCUGGUUAGGGUCUGGUUAGGGUCUGGUUAGGGUCUGGUUAGGGUCUGGUUAGGGUCUGAUUAGGGUCUGGUUAGGGUCUGGUUAGGGUCUGAUUAGGGUCUGGUUAGAGUCUGUUUAGGGUCUGGUUAGAGUCUGGUUAGUGUCUGAUUAGGGUCUGGUUAGAGUCUGGUUAGAGUCUGGUUAGGGUCUGGUUAGGGUCUGGUUAGGGUCUGGUUAGGGUCUGAUUAGGGUCUGGUUAGGGUCUGAUUAGGGUCUGGUUAGGGUCUGGUUAGGGUCUGGUUAGGUUCUGGUUAGGGUCUGGUUAGGGUCUGGUUAGGGUCUGGUUAGGGUCUGGUUAGGGUCUGGUUAGGGUCUGGUUAGAGUCUGGUUAGGGUCUGGUUAGUGUCUGGUUAGGGUCUGAUUAGGGUCUGGUUAGGGUCUGGUUAGGGUCUGGUUAGGGUCUGGUUAGGGUCUGGUUAGGGUCUGGUUAGAGUCUGGUUAGGGUCUGGUUAGUGUCUGGUUAGGGUCUGGUUAGGGUCUGGUUAGAGUUUGAUUAGGGUCUGGUUAGGGUCUGAUUAGGGUCUGAUUAGGGUCUGGUUAGGGUCUGGUUAGGGUCUGGUUAGGGUCUGGUUAGAGUCUGGUUAGGGUCUGGUUAGGGUCUGGUUAGGGUCCGG
rnacentral:lncRNA from 1 species